rnacentral:sRNA from 1 species
CAAAUAUUUGUUGGUUUUAGCCUCUUUUGGGAGAAAAUGGGUAUAAGUGUUGUCUAAACACUCCUAAUCCGUCUCUAACUCGUAUAAUUAGUCAAAUGCAUUAGCUUGUGACAUAUUUUGACAAUAGAAACACUAACAAAGCUAUUUACUGUUUCUAAGCAAUUUUUCGUUGGUUUUAGCCUCUUUAUGGAGAAAAUGAGUAUAAGUGUUGUCUACACACUCCUAAUCCAUCUCUAACUCUUAUAACUUGUUAAAUGCUUUGGAUUGUGACACAUUUUGACCAUAGAAACACUCAUAAAGCUAUUUACUGCUUCUAAGCAAUUUUUUGUAGGUAUUAGCCUA